CAGUGGGUCCUACCACCAUCGUUCAGGCCCAGGCCCAGCUCCUUUCCAGAAGCUGGAGUUUACGAGGCCAUGCCGCUGACCACACUGCCAAGUCGUCCCAGUCACCAGGCACAGCCACCAGGAGCGCUGGGUGGGACCGGAGGCAGCCCUAGAAAACGGGGCUGCCUGGAGGUGAGCAGACUGGUGGACGAUGGACGCAGGCCAGAUGCGGGGACCACAGAUGCGCUGCUGUGAGGACAGAAAACAGUUGCAGGUGUCCCAGAAAGCGUUCCAAAGAGGAAGGCCCUCUCACCCCUGGAGCACGGUUUCCAGGCCCCCAGCCCACAAGGACAGCCCCUCUGUGUCCAGCCCUAGAUCCCACUCACACCUGCCUUGAAGCGCUGGCUGUGGACAUGCUUAAAUCUACUCACAUGUGCCUCAGACCUGGGUUGGGGGUGGGCAGGAAUUUCCAAAAUCUUUUUAGACGGAUUCAGAUUCUUUUUAGCUAUCCAAUCCUUUCUUCAAAUGAAAUGGGGCUCAUGAAGAACCCCAGUAGACAGAGCGGGACAUGAAGCGGGUUGGAGGGAACGCUAGGACCCUCACUGGAGCACCCACACUCACCCCCGACAAACCCCCCAGG
rnacentral:lncRNA from 1 species